GUUUAAUUGAUCAUGGCUCAGAGUGCACCGGGUAGUAGGCUAACACAUGCAAGUCGAGCGGCAGCACAGGAGAGCUUGCUCUCUGGGUGGCGAGUGGCGGACGGGUGAGGAAUACAUCGGAAUCUACUCUGUCGUGGGGGAUAACGUAGGGAAACUUACGCUAAUACCGCAUACGACCUACGGGUGAAAGCAGGGGAUCUUCGGACCUUGCGCGAUUGAAUGAGCCGAUGUCGGAUUAGCUAGUUGGCGGGGUAAAGGCCCACCAAGGCGACGAUCCGUAGCUGGUCUGAGAGGAUGA
rnacentral:rRNA from 1 species